CAACAUAUCACCAAAAUAUCAUUCAAAAACAUGUUUUUGACGUGAUAUGUCUGGCUAUACUCAUGUGAAUAGCAUAUUUUCUGGAAAUAUUUGUUCUGAAUGUUUAAAGAGCAUUAUUUUUAAAUAUCUUGAUUUUAUAUUGAAAUAACAUAAUUUUGAUAUAAUUCAGUUUCAAUUGAAAAUAUCCAGACAACAUCUUUCAAACAUCUGGACAAAAUAUUCUUCUAAUGUCUAGGAUAUGUUUUAUUGAUGUCUACCUAAUGUUUUUU
rnacentral:lncRNA from 1 species